rnacentral:rRNA from 1 species
UACAGAGGUCCCAAGCGUUGUUCGGAUUCAUUGGGCGUAAAGGGUGCGUAGGCGGUGCCGCAAGUCAGAUGUGAAAUCUCGGGGCUUAACCCCGAAACUGCAUUUGAUACUGCGGUGCUCGAGGACUGGAGAGGAGACUGGAAUUCACGGCGUAGCAGUGAAAUGCGUAGAUAUCGUGAGGAAGGCCAGUGGCGAAGGCGAGUCUCUGGACAGUUCCUGACGCUGAGGCACGAAGGCCAGGGGAGCAAACGGG